GCCGGGUGUUGUGGCACGUACCUGUAGUCCUAGCUGCUCAGGAGGCUGAGGCAGGAGAAUUGCUCGAGCCCAAGAGUUCGAGGUUACAGUGAGCUGUGAUCAUGCCACUGUACUUUAGCCUGGGCAGCAGAGCAAGACCCUGUCUCUA
ensembl:misc_RNA Metazoa_SRP Metazoan signal recognition particle RNA